CUCUGGCAGCCACCUGCCAGACUAGCCAAGCCUGCCUAACCUCUGCUCACUUCAGCUUAAAUGUCACUUCCUCAGAGAUACCUUCCCUUCACCUGCUGCAGCUCUCACUUACCUCCUGGGCUCCCCACGAGCUGCAGAGAAGUUCUGCACGAGAACAUUUCUAGCAUCCUGGGAAAUCGCUGAGUUGUUUGUGUUAUCCUGUCUUCACUCACCUCAGAUCACGAGUAGAGAGCAAUGAAGCCUGAGACCCUCAAGGUUUAGGAUUCCAAGGUUCAGUGUGCGCCUGACUGCUCAGCUGGGAGUUUCCUUUGCUUUUAUGGAUUUCAAGUGAGGGAAAUGAGGUCACUUGUCAAGAAAUGUACAUUUUCUCAGAAAACAUUGUUGCAAUGGAAGCAGCAAGGCAUAAAACAGAACCCAGGAACUGUUGAAAAGCUAUCACCCACCCUGUCUGAGCCUCAGUUCACUCACUUGUAUCCAGAAGCCUCAACAGAUAAUUGAAUAAUUAAGUGAAAUCAUCUGUUCGCUGGAGGACACAGCCCUGCCAUCUCCACAGUCCUUCACCAGGCUUUCCCCAGCCCCCAGCUCCAGCCUCAGGAAGUGGAGCUGCUGAGAAUCUCUCCUCCAGCCUCGCCUCCUGCCGAGAGUGUCCUCUGCGUGAGCAUUUCCUGGCCUAAUUAAGCUGGGUAAUGAGUAGCUAAGAGGGAGGGGAUAAAAGCCCUAGGCGGCUUAGAGCUGGGACAGUUUAUGACAGGGGCGUCUGCAGCUGGUGACACUCUUAGGAAAGUUAUUUCUCAUAACCUGGGAAGUUGCAUGCUGUUUCCAUAGCACAGUGAGCCCCAAGGUAAGCACAGGGAAUAUUGCACUUAAGAGGGACCAGCUGGAGGGUCCUGAGAGGGUCCUGAGUGGGGUGGUACUGGGGGGGUCUGAGAAAAGGACUGAUCCCAGCUGCGGAGCAGUCCUGAGCCGCCCAGGCUAAUGCCCUUGGCUUAGCCCCAGGCCGGGGUGUCCUUGGUGACCACGUGUGACUCCCCAGGGCUGGGGUUUUAUGUUUCAUUUGAAUGAUAGGACUGUGCACUGUGGGCAGUUUCCUAAGACCGUGUCCGCCCCGAGUAAGGAAAUCUGAGCCAGACGCUGAUCCUGACUCCCCUCAGUCUUCUUUUAAGGUGCCCAAUAUUGUGUCCUGGAAAAUACCAAGCGCCCAGCAGCCAAGCAGGAGCCCUGGGGGACUGGGGAAGGCUGACAGCAGCCUGGCCUUUCAGAGACCUUCAAAGGCCAAAAGUUGACUGUUUCCACUUCCAAACUCUGCCUCAAGAACCCAACUCCACAACCACAGCCUGUGUACCUUGGCACCGUGUCUAUUUCAUUUGUUUAAAUCACUUUGCACUCAGGCAUUAGUUGGCCACCCCCCACCCCGCACCCCCUGCUCUGGUGUGUGAGGGGGAGGCAGUGUGUUGGGGCCUGGGUCUUGGAGUAGGUUUCAUCACUAGAACAAGGGUUUCCCCCUGUACAAUCAGGGCGUUGGCGAUGCCUAGCCUCCAAUGUGCUAUGAGCGCACAACCUCCACUGUCCAUGAGUCGGGGGGAAUGGCCAAAACGUGGCCACAUUUCCCAGGCCUUUCAAAUUAGGGAACAGUAUGUGCACUUUUACACCCAGGAGCAACUUGCUCUGAUUAUCAGUGUAGAGAAGAGCUGUACCCAGUGAAUGUUACUGAUGAUGGAAGAGCUCAGCCUUCCUCCUGCACUCCAAAAUCGCUAUUUUGAACUUUUCUAAUUUUCUUUCUUUUUUUUUAAGUAGGCUCCAUGCCCAAUGUGGGCCUUGAACUCAAGAUCAAGAGUCAUAUGCUCUACCAACUAAGCCAGCAGGUGCCCCUUGAUCCUUUCUAAUUUUCUGAAGAAGACUGUUUCAGGCCAUGUCCUCAGAACCCCACUUCCUCUUGGUGGCCAGAGCUCAGGGCCCACGGCUACAGGAAAUUUGCAGAGUCCCUCCUUUUUUUUGUCUCUCUUCACUCUCUCCCCUUUGCUGUUCUCAUAAUCUUAUCUACCCUCUUGGCCUGCUUCUCUUUC